AACGAACGCUGGCGGCAGGCUUAACACAUGCAAGUCGAACGGGUGUAGCAAUACAUCAGUGGCAGACGGGUGAGUAACACGUGGGAACCUUCCUAGGGGUACGGAACAACUCAGGGAAACUUGAGCUAAUACCGUAUACGUCCGUGAGGAGAAAGAUUUAUCGCCCUUAGACGGGCCCGCGUCGGAUUAGCUAGUUGGUGGGGUAACGGCCUACCAAGGCGACGAUCCGUAGCUGAUCUUAGAGGAUGAUCAGCCACACUGGGACUGAGACACGGCCCAGACUCCUACGGGAGGCAGCAGUGGGGAAUCUUGGACAAUGGGCGCAAGCCUGAUCCAGCCAUGCUGCGUGAGUGAAGAAGGCCUUAGGGUUGUAAAGCUCAUUUGCCAGGGACGAUAAUGACGGUACCUGGAGAAUAAGCCCCGGCAAACUUCGUGCCAGCCGCCGCCGUAAGAC
rnacentral:rRNA from 1 species